CCUGCCUCAUACUCGGGGAUAGCCUUUCGAAAGAAAGAUUAAUAUCCGAUAGCAUAUAUUUCCCGCAUGGGUUUUAUAUUAAAGAAAUUCGGUAUGAGAUGGGGAUGCGUUCCAUUAGUUUGUUGGGGGGGUAACGGCCCACCAAGACUACGAUGGAUAGGGGUUCUGAGAGGAAGGUCCCCCACAUUGGAACUGAGACACGGUCCAAACUCCUACGGGAGGCAGCAGUGAGGAAUAUUGGUCAAUGGACGCGAGUCUGAACCAGCCAAGUAGCGUGAAGGAUGACUGCCCUAUGGGUUGUAAACUUCUUUUAUAUGGGAAUAAAGUUGUCCACGUGUGGAUUUUUGUAUGUACCAUAUGAAUAAGGAUCGGCUAACUCCGUGCCAGCAGCCGCGGUAAUACGGAGGAUCCGAGCGUUAUCCGGAUUUAUUGGGUUUAAAGGGAGCGUAGGCGGAUUGUUAAGUCAGUUGUGAAAGUUUGCGGCUCAACCGUAAAAUUGCAGUUGAUACUGGCAGUCUUGAGUGCAGUAGAGGUGGGCGGAAUUCGUGGUGUAGCGGUGAAAUGCUUAGAUAUCACGAAGAACUCCGAUUGCGAAGGCAGCUCACUGGAGUGUAACUGACGCUGAUGCUCGAAAGUGUGGGUAUCAAACAGGAUUAGAUACCCUGGUAGUCCACACAGUAAACGAUGAAUACUCGCUGUUUGCGAUAUACAGUAAGCGGCCAAG
rnacentral:rRNA from 1 species